rnacentral:misc_RNA from 1 species
GAUGAAGAACGCAGCGAAAUGCGAUAAGUAAUGUGAAUUGCAGAAUUCAGUGAAUCAUCGAAUCUUUGAACGCACAUUGCGCCCGCCAGCAUUCUGGCGGGCAUGCCUGUUCGAGCGUCAUUUCAACCCUCGACCUCCCCUUGGGGAAGUCGGCGUUGGGGACCGGCAGCAUACCGCCGGCCCCGAAAUGGAGUGGCGGCCCGUCCGCGGCGACCUCUGCGUAGUAAUCCAACCUCGCACCGGAACCCCGACGUGGCCACGCCGUAAAACCCCCAACUUUCUGAACGUUGACCGCGGAUCAGGUAGGAAUACCCGCUGAACUUAAGCAUAUCAAUAAGCGGAGGA